AGAGUCCCAGGCAAUAGGGACAGAGAGACUGGCCCAGCAGGGGCUCUCUGGGCCAACUGAGCAAGGUGACAGGGCCCAGGAAAGGAGCUGUUGGCUGCACAAGGGCAGAUGGAGUCAAGGAAUCAGUGUUCGUGGGAUCCUGGCUGUCCCCACAGUGUCGUGGCUGGACCUUACAAGAACAGAAGCAAGUGAGGCACAGGUAGCUGGCCACCUUGUGCAGGAAGUGUUCGUAACAAAGGCACUCAAAGCAGCAGAGACGUGGGAUGCUAAAGGGACCAAGCGAGCAGAGCAGACAGUGAGUGCCACAAGUGCUUGGAGGGGUCAGCGGGGACCCAAGCAUCCAGAAAAGGUAGGGAGCAUGCAAAGGGGUCCGAAAAAUGGGACCCUCAGUGGGAAGCACUGAGAAGACCUUUAUUCAGUCUCUGUGCCCCGAAUCACUGUCUGCCAGGCUCUGGCCAACCUGUAGCCUCUCCGUGCUGAAAACGACCCCCUAAAAAAGCCAAGGGGGAAGGACCCAGCACACAGCCGCGAACCACAGAUACACCAAGAGAGCCUAAAGUAAAAAAGAUAAGCUUUAAAUCAAACAGAAACUUUUUCCAGCAACUUCUACUCUUGUGAUACUGAACUGAACUGAAGCAAAAGAUUUUAAGAGUUGCCUGAAUCCUUUGGAGUUAACCUGGUUAUUGACUUAAAAAGUCUAAUUGUGAAAUUGACUUACAAAUCCCCUGUGAAAGAAAGGGUCUCUUCUCUCUUUGGAAUGACACUCUCACUAACAAUUUUCUUGAUAAGAGGACCCAACAAACAGCAAUAGAAAUAGAAAACUAUAGAUUGCUAGGUGACAGUAUUUUUUAACCUGCUUCAACCUACAACUGCAAAAUGAACUGGCCCGAUUUAAUUAGAAAAGUCUCACAAUUUCUGACCACUGAUCUACAUUCCUGAAAGGUUCCAUGUGAAAUAAAUGUGGUGUGUGUGUG